AGAUUAAGUUAUUAAGGGCGCACGGUGGAUGCCUUGGCACUAGAAGCUGAUGAAGGACGUUACUAACGACGAUAUGCUUUGGGGAGCUGUAAGUAAGCUUUGAUCCAGAGAUUUCCGAAUGGGGAAAC
rnacentral:rRNA from 1 species